rnacentral:sRNA from 1 species
ACACCCGUGUUUGUAAGUGUUAUGGGUUGCGACCGAGCUUAGCGCUGUUCAUUUUUUUACACAAUAGCCCUGUAAAAAAUUGCACACGCCUCUCUGCACACCCCAUGGCAGCACGCUUUCACGGCCCCUGAGACAAGCCGAAAUGCCCCAAAAAUGGCCGCCUUGCACCAUCAACGGGCAG